UCUACAGCUACUGGAGAAACAUGAAUUUCUUGCAAAGUUUUUUUGUAUUGAUCAUCGCAGUUAUUCUCGCUGCUCAAGCUCGAGGGAGAGACGUGGAAGUGAUUGGGGCGAGGGGGAACUCUGAUGGUGACCGCGUAAGCUACGUGUACGAGAAGGACCGUAAUGGCGAGGGAGGCUUCAUUAAAUACAGAACUCCUUAUGAACGAGCUGAAGGAGUGAUAAGAAUCGAAGAAUGAGAGAGCUCCUCAGUAAUGCAUCUCACAAAUAGAAAAUCUGGCACCGCAAUAUGAUUCGAGUAAGACAAUAAUCAAUUACUGAAAUUACUGUGGGAUCCAUUAAAUAAGAAUAAUAAAUAAGAAUAAGAAUAAUUUAUAACAAGAAUAGUGAGUACUUGCCACAUGUGUUUGUUCUUAUCCCUGACCCAAAAUGAGGAAAAAAUAGAUACAGAGGAACCCGAGUGGAAAUUCUGUUCAGGUCUCGAUCAGAAACUGAUCAAGUCCAAUCCGAAAUUCUGAUCAGGCAUGUUACGCCUCUGCCUUGUUUUUCCACUAGGGUUAGUGAUGCUUUCCGUCAUGACAGCUUUGUCAAAUUUUAUCGAUUAAUAAUUUCAUUUUUAUAUUGUAUGUAGACUGUAGUUUGAUCCUGUAA